GUUUUUGUAUAUUGGGGUAUAUUUCUGCCUAGAGAUGCUCUAUGGAAAAUUGGAUCAAUUUUCCUUUGAUUCAAAUCAACAUAGCAUGUAUAACACAUAAACAGUUAUUUAAAAAAGCAUAUUGUAAUAAACGUGCAUCCUAAUUGGGUGACCCUUUUGAGCCAGGGGUUGGCCUAACGUAUUUGAAGAAAGUAUAUGUUUUUUUAAAACCAAUCCAUUAUCCCCCAAAAACCUUCAUAGGUGUACAUAAAUGGCAUAAAUGCCUACAAAAUUUGCACAAAAGGGAUACAAUCUUUAGGGAAAGGGAAAUUAACAUGAGAAAAAGAACAAUGUCCCACAUAGGGGAUAGGAAAUACUAGUUCCUGAAUGCUCUUGUAUCGGCCUUUAUCCUCUUAGAUUUGUCCACUUCUUGUCAUUGGAGACAUCCGUUGAUGAUCAAGCAGUUUUUGAAUAGCGAUGCCCUAGAUGCAAUCGUCCAAAUUGAUCAAUUUCUUACUUGGCUUGCAUCAAUUCCUCUCUCAAUUGGUGUAUGAUUAAGGCAUCCUUACAUGAAAGUAAGCAAAGCAAGCUUUCUCCCAACCCCAAAGGAUAAUGGAUUGGAUUAAACAAACAUAUAUUUCUUCAAUACAUAAAUAUGACUUCAAUGAAUAUACAAGGAGAAGUUUGACUCAAUUUUAUUAAUCUAAAUAAGAAGAAAAAUAAGACACAUUGCCUUUCCCUCACGGCUUCAUUAGCCCUUUCUUAGUACUAUGAACUAAGGAGAACCAAGAUACCGUAGAAACAAAAUACUUAGCCUUGUAAAACUAAUUUAAAAUGAAGUCACACUGACAUGCCCAAACAAUUUUACCCAAUAACGAAACUAUCAAAACAGAUAGGUAUAUUUUGAACAUUCACAAGACCUUUUCAAUCCUUUCUUUAACAAGUUUAAGGAUCUCUUAAAUGUCAAUAUGACAUCCCCUCUGUAUCAAAAAAGCAGUAGCUUUAAUUCAAGGCUAAAGGGCAGAGUGAUAUUUUCAAGAGAUAAACUCUAGCCAAUAGGACUUAUUUCAUUCUCUUCCUCUCUUGUGCAGGUACAUAAAGAACCUCACACAUCAAGAAGGUCAUAGAGAAGUCUUUGAACGAAAUACCUCUAUUCUAUAAACCUACUCUGUCAUUCUUAUUUACAUGGUAAGCAUAGAAAAAUCGAGAGAGGCUCUAACACACUCGGAAAGAACAAAACAGUCCGAACAGCUACCGAGAAAGGACUUUAAAUUAGAAACAACAAGCUUAAACUUACGACGAACAAGAUUCAAACACACACAAAAAAAAAAUGCAAUAGAGGGCUUUUGGGCCGAAAUCAUGAGUUAAAGAUGACUAAAUGAGUGAGUAUCAUAUGUAUGUAAAAGAAAACAGCACACAAAAAAUUAUUUAAGCUGAAUAACAGAUAAUAAGCUAAAAGAUGCAAUAGUACAUAGAUAAAGUAAUGAAUAUAAUGAACUACGAUAAAAAAAAAACAUGUUACUAAUGUUAUAAAACAAUGGCAGCAAGCAUAUUAAUUUAAAUAACAACCAUCGUAAACGAACCCUACCUCCAUCAAAGCCAUCUACAAUAGUCAAUCCUAGCACACUAUUAUAAACACUAAUACGACUAUCAAACGACUAAGAAAAGAAUGUUGAGACUAAAAAGGGAAAGUGUUGCCUAUUUUGGAGCAGCAAAACAGGAUUCGAGCCAUCGAAGGAGUUUCUUCGCCACCACCGAAAGAUAAAAACCUUAAAGAAAAACUAAGAAAAAUUUCAAUUGAAAUAUUUCUUACUCGAAAUUUUUAAGAAUUUCAAGAUUUAUUGCGGGGGUUCUUUUUCCCUUCCCAGACUUCUCCUAAUUUAGCUCAAUAAUCUAACUUAUAUAGAAGGGAAUUGAGGGGGUCCUUUUGAAGCCCCCACGAUGUGGUAGAAAAAGAAAUUCAAGGGCAAUUUGGGAAUUUUUAAAAAAAGGAAAUUUUUUCAAAAUUUGAACAGAAAGGGAUAUGAAAUUUACUUUUUUCCCUUGAAUUCAUGAACCCGGACGAGAAAGUGGUUGGAUUCAUGGAUGCUUUUGGGGGAAAAACUGGAUUUAACAUAACAAAUAGGAUUCAGAUGAAUACGUCCUGUGAUAGUACAAAACUAACAAAUUUUAUACAGGUCUUCUCAAAAAUUCAUACCUCGAAUUGAUGUGGUGUCGUUUGGAUGAGAUGAAGGUAGUUGAUGGGUUGGGUUGUUGGGUUUUUGCUGGUCGUCAGAAUCGGGCAUGGAUUGGAGUUGGGUUACUGAAUUCAGGUAUCGUUGUUGCUGUUAACGUUGAUGUUGAUGUUGGAUUUUGACGAUUUUGGGUAGCGGGUUGUUCGGAGUUGUUGUCGAUGAUGUUGUUGUUUUCUCUAGGGUUGGAUCGCAUAUUUUUUCUGUGGAUUUUUCAGUUUAGGUCAGGUAAGAAUUAUUGUCGGCUGUAAUUUUUUACGCGUAUUGUUGCUGUGGGUGUUUGGCUGCUAUUGCUUAUUGAAUGAAGGACUUGGGCCGAGUAAUGGAUAAGUGAGUUGGGGCGGUGAUGGGGGAUUGGUGUUGUUUGUUAU
rnacentral:lncRNA from 1 species